CAAGUACUCCCUCCGUCCAAAAUUACUUGUCAUCAAAAUGGAUGUGUCUAGAACUAAAAUACAUCUAGAUGCAUCCAUUUCAAUGACAAGUAUUUCCAGACGGAGGAAGUGCAAG
rfam:Triticum aestivum genome assembly, contig: Triticum_aestivum_CS42_TGACv1_scaffold_581795_7BL